rnacentral:rRNA from 1 species
UACAGAGGUCUCAAGCGUUGUUCGGAUUCAUUGGGCGUAAAGGGUGUGUAGGUGGCGCGCUAAGUCGGGUGUGAAAUUUCGGAGCUUAACUCCGAAACUGCAUUCGAUACUGGCGUGCUUGAGGACUGGAGAGGAGACUGGAAUUCAUGGUGUAGCAGUGAAAUGCGUAGAGAUCAUGAGGAAGACCAGUGGCGAAGGCGGGUCUCUGGACAGUUCCUGACGCUGAGGCACGAAGGCCAGGGGAGCGAACGGG